AUUGAACGCUGGCGGCAGGCCUAACACAUGCAAGUCGAGCGGGGUUUUCGGACCUAGCGGCGGACGGGUGAGUAAUGCGUAGGAAGCUGCCCGAUAGAGGGGGAUACCGGUUGGAAACGACUGUUAAUACCGCAUAAUGUCUACGGACCAAAGUGUGGGACCUUCGGGCCACAUGCUAUCGGAUGCGCCUACGUGGGAUUAGCUAGUUGGUGAGGUAAUGGCUCACCAAGGCGACGAUCUCUAGCUGGUUUGAGAGGAUGAUCAGCCACACUGGAACUGAGACACGGUCCAGACUCCUACGGGAGGCAGCAGUGGGGAAUAUUGGACAAUGGGCGCAAGCCUGAUCCAGCCAUGCCGCGUGUGUGAAGAAGGCCUUCGGGUUGUAAAGCACUUUCAGCGAGGAGGAAGGGGUGUGUGUUAAUAGUACACACCUUUGACGUUACUCGCAGAAGAAGCACCGGCUAACUCUGUGCCAGCAGCCGCUGUAAUAC
rnacentral:rRNA from 1 species